GACCCGCUGGUCAAGUGGUUAAGACACUGCCCUUUCACGGCAGUAACAUGGGUUCGAAUCCCGUGCGGGUCA
rnacentral:tRNA from 11 species